GCAGCCCCUACACUUCUAUGGGUUGUUCCACCCUCUGCUCAGUAUUCCGCAAUACUAUUGCACAAUCCUCUAGAAUAGUCAGGCCAUACUCUUCUAGAUUGAACUUGUCCUCGCUCAAGCAAUCCAUGCUAUGCAUCACUACAGUUUGCUUCUCCGUGCUGGCUUCCACCACAAUGCCAAACUGCUCCCUCUGAAAAAA
rnacentral:lncRNA from 1 species